rnacentral:rRNA from 1 species
ACGUAGUUAGCCGGUGCUUAUUCUUUAGGUACCGUCAUCACUAGUCUUUAUUAAAAAACUAGCUUUUCUUCCCUAACAAAAGUACUUUACAACCCUAAGGCCUUCUUCAUACACGCGGCAUGGCUGGAUCAGGGUUCCCCCCAUUGUCCAAAAUUCCCCACUGCUGCCUCCCGUAGGAGUCUGGGCCGUGUCUCAGUCCCAGUGUGGCGGAUCGUCCUCUCAGACCCGCUACGGAUCAUCGCCUUGGUGAGCCAUUACCUCACCAACUAGCUAAUCCGACAUCGGCCGAUCAAAUAGCGUAAGGCCUUGCGGUCCCCUACUUUCCUCCUUAGAGCUUAUGCGGUAUUAGCCAAACUUUCGCUUGGUUAUCCCCCAUACUUGGCACGUUCCGAUGCUAUACUCACCCGUUCGCCACUCGCCGACAGAGAAGCAAGCUUCUCUUCGCUGCCGUUCGACUUGCAUGUGUAAAGCAUGCCGCAGCGUUCAAUCUGAGCCAGGAUCAAACUCUCUA